rnacentral:tRNA from 1 species
AUUUAUAUAGUUUAAAAUAAAAACUCUCCAUUUUCAAUGGGGGAAUAAGAGAUAUCUCUUUAUAAAUA